CAGGGCUGGCCCUACCUAAACCCUAAACUCUUUCAUCUUCUCUGCCCCAAUUCAAUUCCUGCUUUUCAACUUUGCAACUUUAAACCCCAGAAGCAAGAAGGAAAAAGCUGUGAGGAACGGCAUGGCUUACGGCGGGGCAUCCACGGCAAUGACCGCCGUAACGGCAACGCCGACGAUUAAGCAAGUUAAAUUGGAAAGAGAAAGCGAGCUUAGAAUCGAAGUGGCGAACGACAUGCCGCUGCGCCUGAGGUUACUAAACGGCACUGCUGAGAUCUUUGGCACCGAGUUGCCUCCUGAAAUGUGGCUCACCUUCCCUCCUCGCUUAAAAUUUGCUGUGUUUACUUGGUAUGGGGCCACAAUAGAGAUGGAAGGUACCACUGAAACCGAUUAUACUGCAGAUGAGACUCCCAUGGUUAGUUAUGUAAAUGUCCAUGCUGUACUGGAAGGACGUAGAAAUCGCGCCAAAGCCUCAUCCUCUAGUGGUUCUGAGACUUCUCAGGGUCCUAGGGUGAUUGUUGUUGGACCUACAGAUUCUGGAAAGAGCACCUUGUCAAGGAUGCUUCUCAGUUGGGCAGCCAAACAAGGUUGGAAACCUACCUAUGUGGACUUGGAUAUUGGCCAAGGGUCUAUAACAAUUCCUGGAUGCAUUGCUGCCACCCCUAUUGAGUUGCCCAUUGAUCCAGUGGAAGGGAUUUCUCUUGAAAUGCCUCUUGUAUACUUCUAUGGGCACACAACUCCUAGUCAAAAUGUAGAUUUGUACAAAGCACUUGUAAAGGAGCUUGCUCAAAUACUAGAGAGACAGUUUACUGGAAAUGCUGAAUCACGUGCUGCAGGCAUGGUGAUCAACACUAUGGGAUGGAUAGAAGGUGUGGGCUAUGAGCUGAUUCUUCAUGCAAUUGAUACAUUUAAUGCCAAUGUUGUCUUGGUUU
rnacentral:misc_RNA from 1 species